rnacentral:rRNA from 1 species
UUGGUAGUCCACGCCCUAAACGAUGUCUAUUUGGAGGUUGUGCCCUUGAGGCGUGGCUUCCGGAGCUAACGCGUUAAAUAGACCGCCUGGGGAGUACGGCCGCAAGGUUAAAACUCAAAUGAAUUGACGGGGGCCCGCACAAGCGGUGGAGCAUGUGGUUUAUUCGAUGCAACGGGAAAACCUUACCUGGUCUUGGCUUCCGGGAAAUACA